rnacentral:rRNA from 1 species
CAGGAUGAACGCUAGCUACAGGCUUAACACAUGCAAGUCGAGGGGCAGCAUGGAAGAAGCUUGCUUCUUCUGAUGGCGACCGGCGCACGGGUGCGUAACGCGUAUCAAACCUGCCUCAUACUCGGGGAUAGCCUUGCGAAAGUAAGAUUAAUACCCGAUGUUGUUAUGUUACCGCAUGGUGAUAUAACCAAAGAUUUAUCGGUAUGAGAUGGUGAUGCGUCCGAUUAGGUAGUAGGCGGGGUAACGGCCCACCUAGCCUUCGAUCGGUAGGGGUUCUGAGAGGAAGGUCCCCCACACUGGAACUGAGACACGGUCCAGAC